CCCUUAGAUGUCCUGGGCCGCACGCGCGCUACACUGACAUGUUCAACAAGCCUCCUAGUUCGACAGGAUUUGGGAAAUCUUUGAACGCAUGUCGUGAUAGGGAUAGAUCAUUGCAAUUAUUGAUCUUGAACGAGGAAUUCCUAGUAAACGCGAGUCAUCAGCUCGCAUUGAUUACGUCCCUGCCCUUUGUACACACCGCCCGUCGCACCUACCGAUUGAAUGUUUCGGUGAAGAUUCCGGAUAGGACUUUUUUGAUUUAUUUCAAUUUUGUCUUAAAAGCAAUCUAAACCUCAACAUUUAGAGGAAGGUGAAGUCGUAACA
rnacentral:rRNA from 1 species